CAGAGUUGGACACAAUGCAAGGGGCUUAAAACCCCUAAU
rnacentral:tRNA from 1 species